AUGGAGGGAGGGGUUCUGACCCGCAGGAGGGGGAAAACAGGGUGGGAUUUGGGGUUAAACGGAGACCUGCGCUGCGCGCAGCUCCGGAGCGGUGAUGCCAAAACUUUCAUGGCUGGCUCCAAAGCAGGGGUGGCUCCAAACCCCCACAUUCAGCCCCAAAUCCCCACAUCCAGCCCCAAAACGGGGAUGACUCCAAACCCCCACAUCCAGUCCCAAAUCUCCACAUCCAGCCCCAAAACAGGGAUGUCUCCAGACCCCCACAUCCAGCCCCAAAUCUCCACAUCCAGCCCCAAAAUGGGGAUGUCUCCAAAAACCCAAAACCAGCCCCAAAACUGGGAUGUCUCCAAAUCUCCACAUCCAGCCCCAAAACUGGGAUGUCUCCAAAAACCCAAAACCAGCCUGAAAUCCCCACAUCCAGCACCAAAACAGGGAUGUCUCCAAACCCCCACAUCCAGCCCCAAAAUAGGGAUGACUCCAAAUCCCCACAUCCAGACCCAAAUCUCCACAUCCAGCCCCAAAACAGGGAUGUCUCCAAAAACCCAAAACCAGCCCCAAAACUGGGAUGUCUCCAAAAAUCCAAAGCCAGCCCCAAAACUGGGAUGUCUCCAAAUCCCCACAUCCAGCCUGAAAUCCCCACAUUCAGCCCCAAAACAGGGAUGUCUCCAGACCCAAAUCUCCACAUCCAGCCCCAAAAUAGGGAUGACUCCAAACCCCCAAAUCCAGCCUGAAAUCCCCACAUUCAGCCCCAAAAUGGGGAUGUCUCCAAACCCCCACAUUCAGCCCCAAAACAGGAAUGUCUCCAAAAACCCAAAGCCAGCCCCAAAACUCCAUAUCCAGGCCCAAAACCAGGAUGUCUCCAAAAACCCACGUUCCAUCCCAAAACAGAAAUGUCUCCAAAAACCCAAAGCCAGCCCCAAAUCCCCACAUCCAGCCCCAAACCCCCAAAUCCAUCCCCAAAGCGCCCCAUGUACCCAAAUUCAGCCCCAAAGCCCUCAGCCCCAAACCCCGUGCUCCUCCCAGGCUCUAUUUCCACAUCCCACCCCCAAAUCCCCACUUUCUGCCCCCAAAUCCCCACUCCCUGCCCCCAAAUCCCCACUCCCUGCCCCCCAAAACAGCCUCUCCACAUCCCCACGCUCAGCCCCACAGCUCCCAAAGGAGCUGGCUGCUGCCCACCCCAAAUCCCAGCACCCCAUAUCAACACCCCCUUCCCCCCCAGAGAUGGAAAACCCCAAAACAGGGAUGUCUCCAAAAACCCAAAGCCAGCCCCAAAUCCCCACAUCCAGCCCCAAAACCGGGAUGUCUCCAAACCCCCAAAUCCAUCCCCAAACCUCCCAAGGACCCAAGUUCAGCCCUAAAGCCCCGAGCCCCAAACCCUGUGCUCCUCCCAGGCUCUAUUUCCAAAUCCCGUCCCCAAAUCCCCACUUUCUGCCCCCAAAUCCCCACUUCCUGACCCCAAAACAGCCUCUCCACAUCCCCAAGCUCAGCCCCACAGCUCCCAAAGGAGCUGGCUGCUGCCCACCCCAAAUCCCNNNNNNNNNNNNNNNNNNNNNNNNNNNNNNNNNNNNNNNNNNNNNNNNNNNCAAAAAUGGAAACUGAGGUGUUGCUCACCUGGCAAAGCCCAGCACGGCCCCAGGAGCCCCCAGGUAGCCCCAAAAAGCCCAGCAACAGCCCCAGGAACCUUCAGAUGGCCCCAGGAAACCCCAGGUGGCCACAAGAAGCCCAGCACAGCCCCAGGUAGCACCAGGAAGCCCAGCACAGCCCCCAAGUGGCCUCAAGUGGCCACAAGAAGCCCAGCACAGCCCCAGAGACCCCCAGGUGGCACCAGGAAGCCCAGCACGACCCCAGGAAGCCCCAGGUGGCCACAAGAAGCCCAGCAACACCCCAAAGACCCCCAGGUAGUCCCAGGAAGCCCCAGGUGGCCACAGGAAGACCCAGGAAGCCACAAGCAGCCCAGCACAGCCCCAGAGACCCCCAGGUGGCACCAGGAAACCCCAGGUGGCCACAAGAANNNNNNNNNNGCCACAGGAAGCCCCAGGUGGCCACAGGAAGCCCAGCACAGCCCCAGAGAUCCCCAGGUGGCACCAGGAAACCCCAGGAAGCCACAAGAAGCACCAAAGACCCCCAGGUGGCCACAGGAAGACCCAGGUGGCCACAGGAAGACCAGCACAGCCCCAGAGAUCCCCAGGUGGCACCAGGAAACCCCAGGUGGCCACAAGAAGCCCAGCACGACCCCAGGAAGCCACAAGAAGCACCAAAGACCCCCAGGUGGCCACAGGAAGACCCAGGUGGCCACAAGCAGCCCAGCACAGCCCCAGAGACCCCCAGGUGGCCACAGGAAGCCCAGCAACACCCCAAAGACCCCCAGGUAGCCCCAGGUAGCCCCAGGUGGCCACAAGAAGCCCAGGAAGCCCCGGACGGCCCUGCUGGGUGCUGGGCGGUGCCGGCGGAAGUUCCCAAUGCCUGAACUCCUGGACCGGCCCAACCGGUUGUGCUGAGCUGGGAAGGGGGGGGGACAGGGGGGGGGGGCGGACGGACGGACAGACAGACAGACGGACGCAGGGUCAGCCCUAAACCCCCAUCCU
ensembl:lncRNA